rnacentral:rRNA from 1 species
UACGUAGGCAGCAAGCGUUGUUCGGAGUUACUGGGCGUAAAGGGUGUGUAGGCGGCUCCCUAAGUUUGGCGUGAAAUCUCCCGGCUCAACCGGGAGGGUGCGUCGAAUACUGAGGGGCUAGAGUGCGGGAGAGGAAAGUGGAAUUCCUGGUGUAGCGGUGAAAUGCGUAGAUAUCAGGAGGAACACCGGUGGUGUAGACGGCUUUCUGGACCGUAACUGACGCUGAAACACGAAAGCGUGGGUAGCAAACAGG